rnacentral:rRNA from 1 species
GACGAACCGAGCGAACGUUGUUCGGAAUCACUGGGCUUAAAGGGCGCGUAGGCGGGUGGUUAAGUCUGUUGUGAAAUCCUCCAGCUCAACUGGAGAACUGCAAUGGAUACUGGUCAUCUCGAGGAAGGUAGGGGUAUGUGGAACUAUCGGUGGAGCGGUGAAAUGCGUUGAUAUCGAUAGGAACUCCGGUGGCGAAGGCGACAUACUGGACCUUUUCUGGCGCUGAGGCACGAAAGCCAGGGGAGCAAACGGG